rnacentral:rRNA from 1 species
GAUGAACGCUGGCGGCGUGCCUAAUACAUGCAAGUCGAGCGAACAGACGAGGAGCUUGCUCCUCUGACGUUAGCGGCGGACGGGUGAGUAACACGUGGAUAACCUACCUAUAAGACUGGGAUAACUUCGGGAAACCGGAGCUAAUACCGGAUAAUAUAUUGAACCGCAUGGUUCAAUAGUGAAAGACGGUUUUGCUGUCACUUAUAGAUGGAUCCGCGCCGCAUUAGCUAGUUGGUAAGGUAACGGCUUACCAAGGCGACGAUGCGUAGCCGACCUGAGAGGGUGAUCGGCCACACUGGAACUGAGACACGGUCCAGACUCCUACGGGAGGCAGCAGGAGGGAAUCUUCCGCAAUGGGCGAAAGCCUGACGGAGCAACGCCGCGUGAGUGAUGAAGGUCUUCGGAUCGUAAAACUCUGUUAUUAGGGAAGAACAAAUGUGUAAGUAACUAUGCACGUCUUGACGGUACCUAAUCAGAAAGCCACGGCUAACUACGUG